CACUCCUACGGGAGGCAGCAGUGGGGAAUUUUGGACAAUGGGCGAAAGCCUGAUCCAGCCAUGCCGCGUGCAGGAUGAAGGCCUUCGGGUUGUAAACUGCUUUUGUACGGAACGAAACGGCCUUUUCUAAUAAAGAGGGCUAAUGACGGUACCGUAAGAAUAAGCACCGGCUAACUACGUGCCAGCAGCCGCGGUAAUACGUAGGGUGCAAGCGUUAAUCGGACUUACUGGGCGUAAAGCGUGCGCAGGCGGUUAUGUAAGACAGUUGUGAAAUCCCCGGGCUCAACCUGGGAACUGCAUCGGUGACUGCAUAGCUAGAGUACGGUAGAGGGGGAUGGAAUUCCGCGUGUAGCAGUGAAAUGCGUAGAUAUGCGGAGGAACACCGAUGGCGAAGGCAAUCCCCUGGACCUGUACUGACGCUCAUGCACGAAAGCGUGGGGAGCAAACAGGAUUAGAAACCCCAGUAGUCCCAU
rnacentral:rRNA from 1 species